CUCAGCGCGCCGGGGCAACGCCUGGGACCAGCGGGCGCCUCUCCAGCACGGGCACAGCCGGGAUCCUGGGCCGGACCCCCUCGCCCCGCGGGGUGCGGGGAGCCGGCCCGGCGCUGCUGCCCGCGGUCGAUGCAAGCCUGGGACAGAUGUUUUCAAAAUGUUAACUGGUCCUAGAAGAAUUAGAACUGCAUGAUCAAAGUAUCAGAGGUGAUUCUUGCAGAAGAAAAUGAGCUGUGUGCACUCUCAUCACAGAGAAAUACGAGUCCCAUUUCUUCUGACUUCUCAUACAAGUUCCAGGUGCUUUUUCUCAACACCAUUCUGGCGGCUUAGGACUAUGUGAGCAAGUGGAACUUCCCCAACAGCUCGUUCUGUUGUCAGUGGACUGCAGGAGCCUUUUUUACUCUGAAAACAUUGCUGCUAAAAAACUCCAAACAGAAGGAGUAAAUCCACUCAGCUUGUCAGGUCACUGGCUCAGUGAAACGGUGCUUUCAUGAGGUGACGUUGGGCCAAAGUCAACUUUUCUUUCUCCUUUGUAAACCUGCAGCCAAGCAAUGGGCCAGAAAAUCUCAGGGAGCAUAAAAUCUGUGGAUGUGAGGGAGCCCCCUUAUAGACCCGUGAAACGAGAGCUGAGAGGCCCGGAUUUCUGCAAGCCCGCGCGCCUGGACAUGCUGUUGGAUAUGCCCCCUGCCAAGCUGGAGGUCCAGUACAAACACGCUUGGAAUAACGAAGAUCGCUCGUUAAAUAUAUUUGUAAAGGAAGAUGAUAAACUGACUUUUCACAGACACCCGGUGGCCCAAAGCACAGAUUGCAUCCGGGGCAAGGUGGGCUACACGCGGGGCCUGCACGUGUGGCAGAUCCACUGGCCCACGAGGCAGCGGGGCACUCACGCCGUGGUGGGCGUCUCCACGGCCGACGCGCCGCUGCACUCAGUGGGAUACACGUCCUUGGUUGGUAGCAACAAUGAAUCCUGGGGCUGGGAUCUGGGGCGCAACAAACUCUACCACAACUGUAAAAACCAGCCCGGGGUCACGUACCCCGUCUUUUUGGAACCAGAUGAGUCUUUUGUACUCCCAGACUCCUUACUGGUGGUUUUGGAUAUGGAUGAAGGGACGCUUAGCUUCAUGGUUGAUGGACAGUAUCUUGGAGUGGCCUUCAGAGGACUAAAAGGGAAAAAACUUUACCCCAUAGUCAGUGCAGUUUGGGGGCACUGUGAAAUUACAAUGAGAUACAUCAACGGACUUGACCGAAGUUUGAGCACUGAAAUAAAGUCAGCGAGUGCAGGAGCUGAAGAAGCAGGAGCAGCCUGUGUGGAGAAGCCAUGAGGCUCCCAGGGAGAGUGAUGUUCCUGGAGUCUGGCUCUACCCUGGCCAGUUGUGAUCCAAGGUGAUGGAAACCCAUUGGCAUAUUGCUGCAGACUGUUGGAUUUUUUCCUUAAAAUCUUUGAAUAAGAGUAUGAGGAGAAGAAAUCCAAUCCAGGCCUCAUGUGUAUCUGUGAAUAAUGAUCUUCAGGAAGACAGACUCAGGGAAUAAAUCUGGUUUUUAAGAAUGAGCACCUGUUGCUCUCCAUGGAAGCGAUAAUCUGGAGCAGCUGCUGGUCAGGACCAGUGGUAUGAGCUCUUGGCCCUGCUUUAGCACAGGGUGUUCCAGCCCCAUGUGUGGACUCACUGAUCUGCUUUAUGGUAAACACAGGCAGCCCUUGGAUCACGAAGACUGACAAAUGGAAAGUCCCAGAGGACUCCUUGUUGUAGCCCCACAUAAGUUCUUUUGCCCCUGGGAGGAGAUAUCACCCUCCACGCUGCCCUAGGCACUGCCUGCUCCUGUCCUUCCAGCCUCCCUGGAGCACAGAAACCCCCAGUGUUUUAAAGUGAAUAAAUGGUGUUUUCUGGAAGCUGGGAGGAGGAAAAGACAAGUGGAACAGCAGUUGCCUCUUAGCUGUGUUAGAUGGCUGCAACCUAAAGCACAAAACUAGCUCUUGAGAUGACCAGACUUUUAUGCUUCAACUUCUUUCUGUUAAAAUACAAAAGAC